rnacentral:rRNA from 1 species
UACGUAGGGGGCAAGCGUUGUCCGGAAUCAUUGGGCGUAAAGCGCGUGUAGGCGGUCCGGUAAGUCCGCUGUGAAAGUCGGGGGCUCAACCCUCGGAUGCCGGUGGAUACUGUCGGGCUUGAGUACGGAAGAGGCGAGUGGAAUUCCUGGUGUAGCGGUGAAAUGCGCAGAUAUCAGGAAGAACACCCGUGGCGAAGGCGGCUCUCUGGGACGGUACUGACGCUGAGACGCGAAAGCGUGGGGAGCGAACAGGG